AUUUGGAAUACCGCAGUGUGUGGCACGUGACAGCGGCGGUAGUUGUACCUGUCAUGUGUAUUAUAUAUUUUCUAAAAUAUUAACCUGGGGGACAAGGCUGCCCAGAUCAGAUGGCCCUAGCUAAAAAAGUUUAUUGGAUAUGAAAGUCUUUGAAAGGUUUAAUGUCUUCCAAAAUAUUGAGAAACCUUUCAGGUGAGUCUUUCUCUUCCCAUUGUACAGCAGUGAUCAGGCUGACUCCUAACAUAACUAUAUUUUUUGUUGUUGCCCUGCCUGAUCAUGCCUUAAAAGUGGGCAACUUGAUUAAUGCUUCUCUGCAAAUACAAAGUAACAGAAUAAAUUGGUGACCACAUCAGAAGGUGUCUUUUUUAUGCUUUGCUGUUCUCAUUCCCCAAAACGUCCUGCAACAUUAUGUCUUCAUAGAAUUGAUCAUUAAUGGAGAGCAUGUCAGUGCGAAUUGAACUACCACCUUCUACAAUGAUAACCUGAGUGACUGUCCAAGAAGUACAACUGUAGAAACCAUCUGAAGAUUCAUAGGUUUGAGCAAUAAUUAGCUUGCUAAAUACAACAUGGCUGUUAUAAUCUAGUGGGAGAAGCAAAGGAAACUUCUAAAACCUCUGUUCGUAUUUCUAAUUAGCUGAAGGACAAAGUGCCGAAGGUGGUGAAUUACAGGUGCAAAUAAAGCCUAACUUCA